CCUAAACAUAAUUAGUUCACAUAGUUUACUGGAGAGAGGAAGACAGAAGAUAUGUGAGAAGAAGAUACAUUAAUAUUAAAGAAAGGUCAAAUAGUAUAAACUGGCAAUGAGAGUGAAGAACAAGAUAUAUAUUCAUUUCAUAAUAGAAGAUGCUACAGUACACAAUGCAAACUGUGUGACAGAAUAUUAAUGGAAAGGUUACAAAACUGCAAACAAACAGAUAAGAAGUUAUCACAAAGAAGAGAGAUAAAUUAUUGUUGAAUUGAAGAUCUAAGCAGAGGGCAUUAUUUUGAGAAAAUUUUAAGUUAUUGAACCUCAAGAAAAAAAAUCAGAAUUUAUCUCAAUGGCUGCAUUCUUUCCAGAUCAGGAGAUUUCAAUUGACCUUAAUGAGAAAAACGCAAAUGUAAAAAGUCAAGAGGAUGAACCAACCAAAAAAACAAUCAAGGAUGCACAUCUUUUAAGUACCACCACUGGUGGCAUGGAGAAUUCGUGCCACAGCUGCAUGCUGGGCUUAGGAAUUAUAACUUUUUUGAUUGGUAUGUCAACAUUAAUCCUUGCUUGUGCAAUAAACUCUCUAGAUUCAGUUCCCUUUGUUUUGGGGGUUUCUAUUCUGGCGAUUGGUGUUUCUUCAAUCAUGUUCAGCUGCAUUUGGAGAAGAUACAAGAGAAAAAAGAAGGCAAAGAGAAAUGAAGACCUAGCCGUAUUGUGUUAUGAGUAUAAGGAGAAAAAGAUCAGAAUAUAAAUACGUUGUACAAAACUACAACAAAAUGUGUUGCAUAACAGAACUUAUACCUGUAAAAGAAUCCAUUGUUUCUCAAAUAUUAUUAGGGAAGCCACGUUGGUCUGCUUUGCAUGUUUUUUUUUAACUUGUAUUAUUUAUUCAGUUUCUGAAAAAGUAAAUACAAUGAAAUUGUAACCUACAAUUCAAGGAAUCAGGACAUCAGUAAAAAAUUACAUACUACAUAAGGUGUCUGCAUUUAUUUACCUUCAAUUAUUUUGUUCAUCCUCUUGAAAAAGCUGGCCAUGCUAUGAGCUCCAUAAUGAAAUGGAAAAAAGUUAAGCUUAUGGUAUGCGAGUGAAUAAUUAAGCCAAAUUAUAACAAUACAAAAAAGAAUCACAAUCCAAAAGAGAAGCUACGAGAAUAGAAUAAAAGAUCAAUCAUCUUGAUCUUCUUCUGUCUGCUCAAAUCUCUAACACAAUUUAGCUCAAACUUGCCUUUAGAGAACCUAUACUAUUUGCAUAUAGGCCUUAUCCUACUAAUAAUGAUAAGCCAGAACUGAAAUGCCAACAAGUCCUCUAUGCACAAGAAAUCAAGAAAAACUCUGCAUAUAAUUUUAGCCUUCUUUGAAUAUCUUCAGCAAGGCACAGCAUGGGGUCUAGGUCUGGAUUACUCUUUUCACUUACAAAUGCAUAUUGAUGAGAUGGUAUUAUUCUGACAUUUUGACUGAGGAAAAUAGUAUUUAACAGAUAAAUGCAAUAUAUCCAAAAUGAAUACACUUAAAAAAAAUACACAGUAUUAUCAGUCUCUGAUUUCUGUGAACAUAUGUUGUCAGUAUAUAAAUAUUAUUAAACAGAAAAAAAAAAGAAAAAAAACUGGCGUGAUACUAAUUUAAUAAACUAAGUCAUUAGAUUUUACAAUUUGAGAAAAGUGAAAUAAGGAAUGAUUCUGGAUUUCUUGAAAGUUCACAUUUAGUUACAUGCUGAAAUGCCAAAGUGUAAUUUUAAAUUGAAAGUACAAACUAAUUUUGUUUAUCCACUAUAUGACACCAUAAUGAGAUAUUUUUGACCACACAGAGGCCUAAACAAUGCACCAGACAUCAGCUGAUGGACAUAUACUGUCAACAGGGAAAA